GAUGAACGCUAGCUACAGGCUUAACACAUGCAAGUCGAGGGGAAACGACAUCGAAAGCUUGCUUUUGAUGGGCGUCGACCGGCGCACGGGUGAGUAACGCGUAUCCAACCUGCCCUUGUCCACGGGAUAACCCGGUGAAAACCGGCCUAAUACCGUAUGAGGUCACAAGCGGACAUCCAACUGUGACGAAAGGUUUUGCGGACAAGGAUGGGGAUGCGUCCGAUUAGCUUGUUGGCGGGGUAACGGCCCACCAAGGCAUCGAUCGGUAGGGGUUCUGAGAGGAAGGUCCCCCACAUUGGAACUGAGACACGGUCCAAACUCCUACGGGAGGCAGCAGUGAGGAAUAUUGGUCAAUGGGCGAGAGCCUGAACCAGCCAAAGUUAGCGUGCAGGACGACGGCCCUAUGGGUUGUAAACUGCUUUUAUAAGGGAAUAAAGUGAGUCUCGUAAGACUUUUUGCAUGUACCUUAUGAAUAAGGACCGGCUAAUUCCGUG
rnacentral:rRNA from 1 species